ACCCGCUGAAUUUAAGCAUAUCAAUAAGCGGAGGAAAAGAAACCAACAGGGAUUGCCUCAGUAACGGCGAGUGAAGCGGCAACAGCUCAAAUUUGAAAUCUGGCCGCAAGGUCCGAGUUGUAAUUUGUAGAGGAUGCUUUUGGCGAGGUGACUUCCGAGUUCCUUGGAACAGGACGCCAUAGAGGGUGAGAGCCCCGUACGGUAGUGACACCGAGCCUCUGUAAAGCUCCUUCGACGAGUCGAGUAGUUUGGGAAUGCUGCUCUAAAUGGGAGGUGUAAGUCUUCUAAAGCUAAAUACCGGCCAGAGACCGAUAGCGCACAAGUAGAGUGAUCGAAAGAUGAAAAGCACUUUGAAAAGAGGGUUAAAUAGUACGUGAAAUUGUUGAAAGGGAAGGGCUUAUGACCAGACCUUUGCCUUGCGGAUCAUCCGGUGUUCUCACCGGUGCACUCCGCUUGGUUGAGGCCAGCAUCAGUUUUGGCGGCCGGAUAAAGACUUCAGGAAUGUGACUCCUCCGGGAGUGUUAUAGCCUGCUGUGUAAUACGGCCGCUGGGACUGAGGACCGCGCUUCGGCUAGGAUGCUGGCAUAAUGGUCAUCAGCCACCCGUCUUGAAACACGGACCAAGGAG
rnacentral:rRNA from 1 species